rnacentral:lncRNA from 1 species
UUGAUGUGAGGAGAUAAGAGAGAAGGAAACAAGCAGUUUAUGUAGUACCUAUGAGGAACAUAGGGAUGGUGAUUGAGGAACAUGUGAUAUGUUAUUAUAGCUCAUGCUUCAAUACCAAGAAAAAAGUAACUAUAGUCAAGCAGCAAAGUAAAUCUGGCACAUAGCCAACUUUCCAUGAAGUCUGGCCCUGGAAACCUAUGUGUCCACCUGAAGACAAUACUAUUCUGAUAUUUCUGAAGAGUAGAAGAAAGAUAAGAAAAAUAAAGUUGAACAAAGCAACAUCAAUAAUUCCUCCACAUUUUAAAAUACAAGAAAAGGUAAGUUAUAACAAUUAAUUAAUAAUUAUCCACAUUAUUUUAAUAUUAAUCUUAAAUAAUGGCAAUAACUUAUGCUUAUAUAAUUCUUUCCAAUGUGUGAUAUGCUAGGAAGUAUGAAAAUAUUUUUCAAGUGAGAAAACUGA